AACUUUCGGCAACGGAUCUCUUGGUUCUGGCAUCGAUGAAGAACGCAGCGAAAUGCGAUAAAUAAUGUGAAUUGCAGAAUUUAGUGAAUCAUCGAAUCUUUGAACGCACAUUGCGCCCGCUAGUAUUCUGGCGGGCAUGCCUGUUCGAGCGUCAUUUCAACCCUCAAGCGCUGUUCGCUUGGUGUUGGGGUUAUUUACGGGUUAAACCUGUAAGCCCUGAAAAUUAGUGGCGGGCUCGCUAGCAUCCCGAGCGCAGUAGUUUUACUUUCUCGCUUUGGGCGUGCGGCGGGUUUUUCCCAGCCAUUAAACACCCUUACUUUUAAAGGUUGACCUCGGAUCAGGUAGGAAUACCCGCUGAACUUAAGCAUAUCAAUAAGCGGAGGCU
rnacentral:misc_RNA from 1 species